CCACCCUGUCAUUCGAAACGACAGUACACUGUAUUAUAUGGACCGUGAAUGAAUUGAAAUGUGAUUUAAGACUGUCAUCGACUGGUGAGAUUCUACUCCGUUCAUCUUCUCACAGAGAUCGGUAGAUGAUCUCAAGAAGAUUUAAGUGAGUCAGUCUACACAUACAGAAACAUCCUUUUUUUAUUGAUCUGUUGAUUUGGGGCAUAUUGAUUAAUUAUUAUAUGCAGCUAGCAAUUCGAGUGCAUUCGCUCGCGUCUUUAACAAUCGGGAGGAUCUGAUUCGGGGUUUUACAACCUUUCAACCCUUCGCCAAGAUCGGAGAUGCUCGUUUGGAAAGUGAAGGGAGGAGCCAAUGCUGACGAGCACCAAACGAGAUCAUCAUUCUACUGCUUGGCUGCGUAUUACGAACCGCAUCGAAUGAGGAAGUAGGAAGUGAGAAGUGCAAGAGCGACGAAGAGCCGUUUCAAAACGAUUUCCUACAUAUGCUGAACUCUGAAACGAGACCAACCACCGCUUGAAAACUGACCAUAGCAUCUGAAAAAAUUGGGCGGGCUGGUUUAGAAACAAAGAUGACAUUUUGGGUCUAUUCUUUCCAAUCUACAGCAAGUGGAGGCCACUAUCAACAAUUGGGAAAAGAUUGAGGUCGGUUAUUCUCAUCGGGGAAUAACAAGCACGUUUUGGGGAUCAAGACUUGUCAUCUAUCCCAUGAACUGAACCAUUGGGCACAUACCCCGCAAAGCCCAUGAAAUCGAAUUAAGGUAUUCCAUUGGUUUUCAACCACUACCAGAUACGGCAUUCUUGACGAACAGCCAGUCGCAAAUCAAGGUUAUCGAGGGCACGUUUGUCCCUCAAAAUCAGGAUAGUUCGGCUCCAUCUUCCACAACAACCAUAAUCAGAGCGAGGGCACGCACAACAACAGCAACAGAAAGAAUGACUAGGAAAAACGAGGCUGAUGGGCCUCAUGUCCUUGACUGAAUGAGUGCGAAGAAGUGCUCUGGUUUGCGUCCCAUCGACCGUACCCUGGCCUAACCCAAUUUUUCUCACUUUAACCCAGCAUGUGGCCGUGCACGGUUGUGGGUACAUUGAAAUUGGGCCAUGGACUGAAGAAUUCCACACUACCACCACCAAAACCACCACCAACAACAACAAACGUCGUUGAACUACCCAACUUGUUUGAGCCUCCUACACUCAUUGACUUACACAGUACAUACAUAGAGACCACACUAACACGACCAAGAUGGUGUUGAACAUGGUGACAUGCUGCUAGAAUGUGGCUGAACCACAUAAUUGGUGCUUCCAAGAGGAGAUAAAAAGAGUGCUAUUUUCAACGAAAUUAGCCAGAAAAACAAUGUCCAUAAACACCAACGACAAAUCUGAGGAGCUCGAUUGUGACAACAUUGAUCAAAUCUUUCACGGACCCUUCCCACGCUUUUCAAAUUCAUUUUUUGAAUUGCCGAAAAGACAAGAUUAGUCAUGUAAUGUUUUGAUGAAACGGGAGAGAAAAUGGUUCAUAAGUAUUGCAACAUUGGGGCUAACAUCAUCGUGAUUGGAGUUGUGGGCAUAAUUUUGUUGGGUUUACUUUAUGUACGUAUAUUGAGUUUGAGUUUCAGUCAGGUGGAGGAUUUGGAUUGACAGAAAACUCGAGGCUCUCGUGUAUUGAAAAAACAUCAGGCCAUGUGAUUCGUAAUCCUACUCUUCAAACUUGGACAGAACUCUGAGGAUGAAGGUUAUCAAGUGAUUGAUUCAUUAUCUACCGAUUUAAAGUUGUAAUCUCACAAACACUAUUUUGAGGAAGAAUCCCUGUGAAAACUAAUUUCCCCGCUUGACUGAUCAUCAUAUUCAAUGUCACUGGAAUCUUCUUGACCAUGCACUGUUUUCAAGGACGGCAUGAAUUUACUCGAUUAAAAGCAGAUUCAAAUUUUAAAGUGUCGUCGUUAUUU